CCUACGGGAGGCAGCAGUGGGGAAUAUUGCGCAAUGGGGGAAACCCUGACGCAGCAACGCCGCGUGAGUGAAGAAGGCCUUUGGGUUGUAAAGCUCUUUCGGCCGGGAAGAAGGGUGAGGGUGUUAAUAGCACAUUCAUUUGAUGGUACCGGAAGAAGAAGCACCGGCUAACUUCGUGCCAGCAGCCGCGGUAAUACGAAGGGUGCGAGCGUUGUUCGGAAUUACUGGGCGUAAAGGGUUUGUAGGCUGAAAUGUAAGUCAAGUGUGAAAUCCCCGAGCUAAACUUGGGACGUGCAUUUGAAACUGUGUUUCUUGAGUAUCGUAGAGGGUGGUGGAAUUGUAGGUGUAGGAGUGACAUCCGUAGAGAUCUGCAGGAACAUCAGAGGCGAAGGCGACCACCUGGCCGAUUACUGACGCUGAGGAACGAAAGCGUGGGGAGCAAACAGGAUUAGAUACCCUGGUAGUCCACGCCGUAAACGAUGAUAACUAGGUGUUGGAAGAAUUGACCCUUUCAGUACCGUAGCACACGCGCUAAGUUAUCCGCCGUGGGAGGUACGGCCGGCGAACGGACGUAAAACGUUAAAACGGUAAAGUUAGACGGCGUGAGACGUGCCGAACGGACGACGACGAGGGAGGUAGG
rnacentral:rRNA from 1 species